CGCGCCCGAGUAUUUCUCUCAGUUCUGGUUAGCGAAGAUCAAGGAAGACGUCGGGGACAACUGGCGCCUCAAGGUGUCCAACUUGAGGAAGGUGCUGCAGGGCAUCGUGGAUUACUUCCAGGAGCAGCUCAACCAGAACAUCAAGCACUUCCCGCUCCCGGACCUCAACAAAAUAGGCGAGCACAACGAUGAAGUGGAGCUCGGGCGGAUGUUGCAGCUGAUCCUUGGCUGCGCCGUUAACUGCGAAAGCAAACAACAGUACAUCGAGGCCAUCAUGAACAUGGAGGAGCGCGUGCAGAAGGUCAUCAUGGAGGCCAUCCAGGAGCUGAUGCUGAGGGAGAGCUCGCCGGGACUCCUCGGGCCCGACGGCGACCCGCGGACGGAGCUCGGGCCCGCGUCCUUCCACCCGCACAUCAAGACGGUCCUGGAGCAGCUGGAGGCCGCCACGCAGACCAGGGACGAGAUGAUGCAGAGGUGCCUCGAGCUGGAGCAGCAGCUCUCUGUAUUGAAUGAAGAAAAGAGCACAUUAUCAACUGAGAAUGAGAAGCUGUUGAAUCGGCUUGAUGCCCUAGAGACAGGAGGGGACUUGGGCACUUCGACCCUGCGUUACAAGGACCUCAAGAAGCAAAUCGACGGGCUUCAGGAUGAACUCUAUAAACUGGAGACAUCCCGAGACGAAUACCGAACAAAAGCUGAAGUCCUAGAGAGAGAGAACCAGGAAAUCCAGGCACGAAAUGAGGAGCUGCAACAACUGGCAGAUGAAGCACGAUCUCUCAAGGAUGAAGUUGAUGCCCUAAGAGAGAUGAGUGAGCGCGCAGUAGUUUAUGAGGGCACAAUGGAGACAUAUAAAAAGAAAUUGGAAGAGCUGAGUGACCUCAAGCGGCAGGUCAGGAUCCUUGAGGAGAAGAACUCAGAUUAUAUGCAACACAAUAUGGAACUAGAAGAGGAGGUUAAAAAGAGUGGAACAUGGAGACCACAACUGGAUCUCUACAAAAAGCAAGUUGCUGAACUCCACCAGAAACUAGCUGAUGAGGCCAAAAAGACAGAUCGUCAGAUAUUUGAGAACAAGAAACUUGCAGAAAAAAUGGAAGCCAUUACUCAGGAGAAAGAUCGACUUACAAUGGAACGAGAUCAACUCAAAGAAAGUUUGGAAGAAUUGAGAUGUCACAUCUCUACACUGACCUCACCAGACACAACAUCUCGCCCUCCAUCAGAUCUUUCAGAUGUUGACUUACUGGAGGUUAUUCCACAUGACAUCAGGCAAAAGCUAAUAAGACUUCAGCAUGAGAACAGCAUGCUGAAACAGCGUGCAGCAGAAGGAGACAGCUCAGAACAAUUGCCAGUGCUGCAGACUUUGGUUUCUGAUCUUCAGGAGCGACAAAAUUCAUUAACACAGGAGAACAGACAACUGAAUCAUCGCAUUAUGGAGCUAGAGAGUGAGGUGGAAGAGGCAAAGGCAUCAUCAGUUAUGGCUCCUAUGGCCAUGGCUGCAGCAUCACCAUCAAGGUCUGCAGGAGGAAAGAAUGGUGAUUUAGAUAGAAAGAUGGCAGAGCAAAGUGAGAGGAUUGCAUCACUGGAAGAAAGUCUAGCAAAGAAGGAAAGUGAGAUGGCAGCCAUGGAAGAGAGGUACAAAAAGUAUCUUGGGAAGGCCAAGUCUGUUAUCAAGACACUUGACCCCAAGCACAACCCAGCUCUUGUUCCUGAUGUCUCAAACCUCAGGUCAACUAUCCAUGAAAAGGAACGCAUUAUUGAGAAUCUGGAGCGUGAAAAUGAGAAGACCAAAAUGAUACGUGAUAUGGAAGAAAAGCUGAUUACCACUGCCUUCUACAAUUUUGGCAUGCAAAUGCACAGGCAGAUGAUAAAUCAGCGGCUCACCACAAUGGACCAGGGUCAGUCCUUCCUCUCACGCCAGCGCCAGGCAUCUUCCCGCCGUGUCCCCAUGGGUAGCAAUGUUGGCAACAGUGAGUUUUAUGACUAUUAGCGACAGCGAUUGUGUGGUUCGCGCCCCAUCCCCAUGCAUGGUUAGUAAGUUGUGUCGACAAGUUGCAUGUGUCGAUACACAUACACAUACAUACUCCGUCCAGUAGUCAGUUUGAAGACAUGCGGAUCAGCUGACUCCGUGUGUGUUCGUAGUACAGAAUAGAUAGUAUUAUACAAUCAAAUCUUUCAAAUUAGGAUAUCAAUGUGAUAAAUAAAAUUUCUGUAUUUUCAGCAGAGUAUUGAAUUUUACAGCAAGGGAAUUGAUGAAUGGAAAACAAGCAUGUUUAAAAUGACAUUAUUAAACAAAUGUAUGUUUCUUUACUUAUUCCAAAUUUGAUUUCUUGAUGUAAUACUAAGACAGCAAAAUGAGUUGGAGUAAGAUAUGAAAAGGAUGGGCAUUGAUUUGAACCCCUUUUAAUUUCUGAAUCACAUUUUGGUUCUAUAAAGUUGUAGUUAGCUUUUAAAUAUGUUACCUUAGUUACAGAAUGAGUUUAGUUAGCACCUCACCAUGGAGAAUUGCUGCACAGGGUGUUGGCUCACAAAUGAAUGACAGAGAGCAAUAAUAUAUCUAACCUGCACAAAAUUAUAGACUAUUUGAUUCUGGCCAAGCAUUAAGUUUUGCCUGUGCUGCAAUAUGUUACCUUUGGGGGGAGUCUAGAAAAGACACUGACCAAAGAAGGAUGGGACGAUUCUUUCAUAGCAACAUUGUAUAUCAAUUUUCACUCUGAGAAUAUGACGUGUUAUGUAAUUUACUAGUGUAUUAUUAUUAUUAUUAUUUUUUUUUUGUAUGGAAUAAUUUUUUAAGACUAUGAUUCAUGUGCUUUAACCGAGCAGCAUUGUUGCACAAACAUGUUUCACAUUUUUAAAUUUUACAAGCUUGAAUUACUCUAUGUAAAUUUGUUCUAUGUUGUGUAUGUUGCAUAAUAUUAAAGAUUAUAUGAAAAUGGUACUUAUAAAUGACAUGUACUCAUAUAAAUGUGAUAUCUGAAACUAAGUGUUGAAUUAAUAAUUUGGAGAUAUACAAGAGCAUACCAAGUGUCCAAAAUGUAUUUUGUGAGUAAUUGAUGUAGAGGUGUGGGAAUUCUUUUUUAAAAAGUAUAAACAGUGUCCCUGUUAUAAACUUCUCCAUAUGUUUAACAAAUUUAUUUUAAGUCUUGUGUUCUAUAUUACUUGGAUAACAACUAAAUUUUCAAUUACUUGGGAAGAUGGCAAACCAUAUAUAUGGCAUCAGGAUAUGAAGUGCUGUCAUUUAAAUGCAGGUUAUUCAUGCCUUCCUACUUUAGGUUUUAAGGUUAAGCUAUUGGUUAGGUUUUAUAAUGUAGAAAAGUCUAAAUAAAUAAACAUUAGUUAUCUA